UACGUAGGUGGCAAGCGUUGUCCGGAUUUACUGGGCGUAAAGAGCGCGCAGGCGGUCGUACAAGUCGCGUGUGAAAGCCCCCGGCUCAACUGGGGAGGGUCACGCGAUACUGUUCGACUCGAAGGCAGGAGAGGGAAGCAGAAUUCCCGGUGUAGUGGUGAAAUGCGUAGAUAUCGGGAGGAACACCAGUGGCGAAGGCGACUUCCUGGCCUGGUUCGUUGACGCUGACGGCGCGAAAAGCUAGGGGAGCAACGGGG
rnacentral:rRNA from 1 species